rnacentral:lncRNA from 1 species
AUAUAGCAAUAACUUGACUGGUCUAAACCUCAGUGCAUUGCUCUACUUGGCCAAACCUAUAUACCCCCCUUCCCCCAUGUUCCUUUAUCUCAAUGAAUGGCCUCAGUAAUCCUGAAACCAAGGUCGGCUGCAUCUUCUUCCUCCCUGCACCCUCCAGGAGCAAUCCAUCAGUAUCAUCCUGCCCAGAGCUUGUGAAGGUGCAGUGGCCUGAGCCAGGCUUCCAAGAGGACAACCGUGAUGGGCUCUGUGUGCGUUGCUGGGUGAGCUCUGCCUUUCCUGGUUACACUCUGAAAUACUUGUGUACCUGUGACUAAGGGCCAAACUCAGACUAGAUGAUAGGUGAUCAAAGAUGGGCUUUGUGACAGGCUGGAGUGCCUGCGAUGGCCUCAGACAGGGGCUGGAAUGCAUGUGCUUCUCACCAAGAACAUUAGCAAGCAGAGGCUGGGUCAUUUCUGACAGCUGCUUCUCUGAGCGGAGGGCAGGGCUGGCUAGAGAAGUCCCUCAUCUCUGGUCCCACCUAAGUGGUGGGAGGCGUGUUACUUUGCAGCUGACCAGAUGCCAGCUUGAGAUGGGGCUCAGAGUAACCUUCACAUCCCUGCCCGAAGGCUCUUUUAAAAAUUACGUAGCUAAUUGC